rnacentral:rRNA from 1 species
CCUACGGGAGGCAGCAGUGAGGAAUAUUGGUCAAUGGGCUUACGCCUGAACCAGCCAAGUCGCGUGAGGGAAGACUGCCCUAUGGGUUGUAAACCUCUUUUGUCAGGGAGCAAUUGGCGCUACGUGUAGCGUUAUCGAGAGUACCUGAAGAAAAAGCAUCGGCUAACUCCGUGCCAGCAGCCGCGGUAAUACGGAGGAUGCGAGCGUUAUCCGGAUUUAUGGGGUUUAAAGGGUGCGUAGGCGGAAUGCCAAGUCAGCGGUAAAAUCGCGGGGCUCAACCUCGCUCCGCCGUUGAAACUGGCGUUCGGGAGGGGGCGAGAAGAAUGGGGAAGGCGUGGUGUAGCGGUGAAAUGCAUAGAUAUCAGGAAGAACACCGAUGGAGAAGGCGGCAGGCCGGCGCCCAAGUGACGUUGAGGCACGAAAGCGUGGGGAGCGAACAGGAUUAGAUACCCGAGUAGUC